UUUUAACAUUUCGAGGCAGAACAGAGUCUUUGAAGUGGGCGAAAAGGUUUACCCAAGGAAUAACAAAAGACUAGGGAACAAGCUAACCCCGCUGUACUCAGAAGAACGGGUACAAGCGGACCUUGGAACGGCAGUUCUAAUUAAGGGGAGGGUGGUCCAUAAGGACAAUCUGAAAUAAUUCAAACUUUUGUUUUACAGAAUUAAGGUAUCAUUCCCGCAGGUUUGACGGAAUACUCUUCCUACUCCCUUCUACUACAACUGCGCGGAUCACCGCCUUUUAUACCGUUAAAAUGUUGGAGUUGUUCCCACAUUCAGAUAUAGAACAUAAAAAAAUCUGUUGUCCGCUUUAAUGAUACAUGGCCAGAAGCCUAGACUUCCUGAUAACAGCAUUAAAGGUCGUAGCAAGUACCCCCCACGAGUUGGGCUUCGAAAAAAUAGCAGCUUGUAGAAUCAUAGACUGAUUAACUGAGUACUGAUUAACACAGAGGCGCAGAAACAGGAUGCUAAUUUCGGUAGUCCAAAUCUCAUGAUUACGAUCACACUUGCCAAAGCGAAUAUCCCACUAAGACCUAAAAUCUAUUUUUACCGAACAGCUCACAGAGGUCCCAGUAGCUUAUUUGUUGGGAGUAUGUAAGAAUAUAAGAAUUUUUCAUUUCAUAUUUAAGUAGAAUACUCCC
rnacentral:lncRNA from 1 species